rnacentral:rRNA from 1 species
AACGAACGCUGGCGGCAGGCUUAACACAUGCAAGUCGAACGCCCCGCAAGGGGAGUGGCAGACGGGUGAGUAACGCGUGGGCACAUACCCUUUCCUGCGGAAUAGCUCCGGGAAACUGGAAUUAAUACCGCAUACGCCCUACGGGGGAAAGAUUUAUCGGGGAAGGAUUGGCCCGCGUUGGAUUAGCUAGUUGGUGGGGUAAAGGCCUACCAAGGCGACGAUCCAUAGCUGGUCUGAGAGGAUGAUCAGCCACAUUGGGACUGAGACACGGCCCAAACUCCUACGGGAGGCAGCAGUGGGGAAUAUUGGACAAUGGGCGCAAGCCUGAUCCAGCCAUGCCGCGUGAGUGAUGAAGGCCUUAGGGUUGUAAAGCUCUUUCACCGAUGAAGAUAAUGACGGUAGUCGGAGAAGAAGCCCCGGCUAACUUCGUG